rnacentral:rRNA from 1 species
UCGGGAAUUUUGGGCAAUGGGCGAAAGCCUGACCCAGCAACGCCGCGUGAGGGAUGAAGUAUUUCGGUAUGUAAACCUCGAAAGAAUGGGAAGAAUAAAUGACGGUACCAUUUAUAAGCUCCGGCUAACUACGUGCCAGCAGCCGCGGUAAUACGUAGGGAGCAAGCGUUGUUCGGAUUUACUGGGCGUAAAGGGCGCGUAGGCGGCGCGGUAAGUCACUUGUGAAAUCUCUGAGCUUAACUCAGAACGGCCAAGUGAUACUGCUGUGCUAGAGUGCGGAAGAGGCAACCGGAAUUCUUGGUGUAGCGGUCAAAUGCGUAGAUAUCAAGAGCAACACCUGAGGCGAAGGCGGGUUGCUGGGCCGACACUGACGCUGAUGCGCGAAAGCCAGGGGAGCAAACG